CCUACGGGAGGCUGCAGUGAGGAAUAUUGGUCAAUGGACGAGAGUCUGAACCAGCCAAGUAGCGUGAAGGAUGACUGCCCUAUGGGUUGUAAACUUCUUUUAUCUGGGAAUAACAUGUUCCACGUGUGGGAUUUUGUAUGUACCAUAUGAAUAAGGAUUGGCUAACUCCGUGCCAGCAGCCGCGGUAAUACGGAGGAUCCGAGCGUUUUCCGGAUUUGUUGGGUUUAAAGGGAGCGUAGGUGGAUUGUUAAGUCAGUUGUGAAAGUUUGCGGCUCAACCGUAAAACUGCAGUUGAAACUGGCAGUCUUGAGUACAGUAGAGGUAGGCGGAAUGCGUGGUGUAGCGGUGAAAUGCUUAGAUAUCACGAAGAACUCCGAUUGCGAAGGCAGUUCACUGGACUGCAACUGACACUGAGGCUCGAAAGUGUGGGUAUCAAACAGGAUUAGAUACCCCUGUAGUC
rnacentral:rRNA from 1 species